rnacentral:rRNA from 1 species
GAUGAACGCUGGCGGCGUGCCUAAUACAUGCAAGUCGAGCGAACGGACGAGAAGCUUGCUUCUCUGAUGUUAGCGGCGGACGGGUGAGUAACACGUGGAUAACCUACCUAUAAGACUGGGAUAACUUCGGGAAACCGGAGCUAAUACCGGAUAAUAUUUUGAACCGCAUGGUUCAAAAGUGAAAGACGGUCUUGCUGUCACUUAUAGAUGGAUCCGCGCUGCAUUAGCUAGUUGGUAAGGUAACGGCUUACCAAGGCAACGAUGCAUAGCCGACCUGAGAGGGUGAUCGGCCACACUGGAACUGAGACACGGUCCAGACUCCUACGGGAGGCAGCAGUAGGGAAUCUUCCGCAAUGGGCGAAAGCCUGACGGAGCAACGCCGCGUGAGUGGUGAAGGUCUUCGGAUCGUAAAACUCUGUUAUUAGGGAAGAACAUAUGUGUAAGUAACUGUGCACAUCGUGACGGUACCUAAUCAGAAAGCCACGGCUAACUACG